AAAAAUUUCAAUUAAAAAAUAGAAGCAAGUAAAACCUGCAGGUAUCAUAGGAUCUCAUCAGUGAUCUUAUCUAGCCCAUUGUCCUAUCUUGAUAAUGCUACUAUUAGGAACUUGUCUUCAUUAGAGGAAGGUGUAUUAGUGUCCUCAAAACAGUUACAAAAUAACUAAUUCUGGCAAUGUCAAUCAUUGUCUGAAUUAUGCUGAAAGCCCACAAUUCUGUAUAUCACAUAUAUAUAUGUAAGUAAAAUGAUUCUGUCCGCUGUAACCAGAUGUCCCCAUUAUCCAUGUAAAGGAUAGAGGGCAUCGUGAAUUUUUCAUGCAGAGUGAUUUCCAUUUAAGUGCUGAUCUGGAUAACAUUGAUCUGUAGUCCCCUGGUCAUACUAUUAUUCUUUCGUAGACAUGAACAGUUUUGAUUCUUCCACGGGAAAUAUAAUUUUUUUAUUUUUUUUUUUCCUCUAGAUUGCUGUAAUGAAUAGGACCCAGAAAGAAAAAUGUUGAAUGGAGCAGGAAGCCUGUGUAUGCCAUAACAAAGAGAAGAGUUUUAUAAAGAACUUUCUAAAAAAUGCAAAAUGUUGACCAGAAGUAUCCUUUAGGAAAGUGAUACAUUUGAUUAUUAUAGCCGUAACAAUGAGCUUUAGUUACAGGAGUGGUAAAUUGAGUAUCUCACUGGGGACAAGGCUGCAGAUUAGACUUCAACUUGGAAAUGAUAUACAUUCAAAAAAACUUCACUGUUUCACAGCAGAAGUGUUUAUGGGAAGAACAGCUGAUAAGAAAAAUAUAGAAGAAGCAGUAAAGAAAAGAAGAAACAAUGUGAAAUAGGUCACCUCCCUAUGUUUUAUUAGCAGAAUCAUAAAAUUAAACAAACCUUCUGGAAGACUUAAACAUUCUCUAUGCUGACAGAGUGUUUUGUUGCUUUUCUAGUUCUGUGUGUAGCUGGAGCAAUCCUGAUGUGAGUAGCUGAAAGUCCUUGGCCUUGCAGCUGGCCCUCACAGCUCCCUGCUUUGGCCCUGUCAUUGGGAGAGGAUGGCUGGGAUGACACACUGCUGGAGACAGCCUCUGCCAAUACCAUGAGUCUUCAGGUAGCUUUUCUUAAAUAGGGCUUGGAGAUGGAUCAGUCUCACGAGAGCACUGAGGAACUCCUGUUCUCCUGAGCAUCUCUUUCCAAAAUAGUUGCAAUGGAAAUGCGCAAGGUCAGUCAGUUUAGAAAAAGGAGAGCUGUAAUAAUACACUUGAUAGUAAAUACAUCCAAACUAAGCAUGAGUGCUUCUGGUAGUUCAGCUGUACUUUGAAAUUGGCAAAAAAAAUGUCUUGAAUUGAGACUUAAAAAAAGCCACAGCCAAAACACAGUAUAUGAUCUCAGACAUCACUUGUCAGCCUAAGCAACAAGCAUCUGUUGAUGAGUGUCUUGGGACUUAUCACCAUAAACAUGCAGCAUGCUGCUCAAAACAGGAACUGGAAUUUUACAGGGUUAUACUGAAACACCAGGCAUAAAUGAAAAUCUGAAUUAAAGCGUGUCCAACAUACUAAGAGUAACAGAGGCCAG
rnacentral:lncRNA from 1 species